GGAAGGUCCGGGCGUUAUCCGGAUUUAUUGGGUUUAAAGGGAGCGUAGGCCGGAGAUUAAGCGUGUUGUGAAAUGUAGACGCUCAACGUCUGCACUGCAGCGCGAACUGGUUUCCUUGAGUACGCACAAAGUGGGCGGAAUUCGUGGUGUAGCGGUGAAAUGCUUAGAUAUCACGAAGAACUCCGAUUGCGAAGGCAGCUCACUGGAGCGCAACUGACGCUGAAGCUCGAAAGUGCGGGUAUCGAACAGGAUUAGAUACCCUGGUAGUCCGCACGGUAAACGAUGAAUACUAGGUGUCGGGUGGCAAAGCCAUUCGGUGCCGCAGCAAACGCAAUAAGUAUUCCACCUGGGGAGU
rnacentral:rRNA from 1 species